CUUAAGCCAUUGCGAGUCGAAUGUAGCAAUACAUGGCGAACUGCUCAGUAACACGUGGACAACCUGCCCUUUAGGACGGGGAUAAACCCGGGAAACUGGGUAUAAUACCCGAUAGGUCUCGAUUGCUGGAAUGCAUCGAGAUUUAAAGCUCCGGCGCCUAAGGAUGGGUCUGCGGCCUAUCAGGUAGUAGUGGGUGUAGCGUACCUACUAGCCUACGACGGGUACGGGUUGUGAGAGCAAGAGCCCGGAGAUGGAUUCUGAGACACGAAUCCAGGCCCUACGGGGUGCAGCAGGCGCGAAAACUUUACAAUGCUGGCAACAGCGAUAAGGGAACCUCGAGUGCCAGGUUACAAAUCUGGCUGUCGAGAUGCCUAAAAAGCAUUUCAUAGCAAGGGCCGGGCAAGACCGGUGCCAGCCGCCGCGGUAACACCGGCGGCUCGAGUGGUAACCGUUAUUAUUGGGUCUAAAGGGUCUGUAGCCGGCCGGAUAAGUCUCUUGAGAAAUCUGGCAGCUUAACUGUCAGGCUUUCAGGAGAUACUGUCUGGCUCGAGGCCGGGAGAGGUGAGAGGUACUUCAGGGGUAGGGGUGAAAUCUUGUAAUCCUUGAAGGACCACCAGUGGCGAAGGCGUCUCACCAGAACGGACCUGACGGCAAGGGACGAAAGCUAGGGGCACGAACCGGAUUAGAUACCCGGGUAGUCCUAGCCGUAAACGAUACUCGCUAGGUGUCGGCCACGGUGCGACCGUUGUCGGUGCCGUAGGGAAGCCGUGAAGCGAGCCACCUGGGAAGUACGGCCGCAAGGCUGAAACUUAAAGGAAUUGGCGGGGGAGCACCACAACGGGUGGAGCUUGCGGUUUAAUUGGAUUCAACGCCGGAAAUCUUACCGGGACCGACAGCAAUAUGAAGGCCAGGCUGAAGACUUUGCCGGAUUAGCUGAGAGGUGGCGCAUGGCCGUCGUCAGUUCGUACUGA
rnacentral:rRNA from 1 species